rnacentral:rRNA from 1 species
UACGUAGGGUGCGAGCGUUGUCCGGAAUUAUUGGGCGUAAAGAGCUCGUAGGCGGUCUGUCGCGUCGAUCGUGAAAACCCGGGGCUUAACCCCGGGCCUGCAUUCGAUACGGGCAGACUCGAGUGUGGUAGGGGAGACUGGAACUCCUGGUGUAGCGGUGAAAUGCGCAGAUAUCAGGAAGAACACCGGUGGCGAAGGCGGGUCUCUGGGCCACUACUGACGCUGAGGAGCGAAAGCGUGGGGAGCGAACAGG